GAUGAACGCUGGCGGCGUGCUUAACACAUGCAAGUCGAACGGAAAGGCCUCAGCUUGCUGGGGUACUCGAGUGGCGAACGGGUGAGUAACACGUGGGUGAUCUGCCCUGCACUUUGGGAUAAGCCCGGGAAACUGGGUCUAAUACCGAAUAUGACCACUUCUUGGAUGUUGUGGUGGAGAGCUUUUGCGGUGUGGGAUGAGCCUGCGGCCUAUCAGCUUGUUGGUGGGGUAAUGGCCUACCAAGGCGGCGACGGGUAUCCGGCCUGAGAGGGUGUACGGACACAUUGGGACUGAGAUACGGCCCAGACUCCUACGGGAGGCAGCAGUGGGGAAUAUUGCACAAUGGGCGCAAGCCUGAUGCAGCGACGCCGCGUGGGGGAUGAAGGCCUUCGGGUUGUAAACUCCUUUCGCUAUCGACGAAGCCACUUGUGGUGACGGUAGGUAGAUAAGAAGCACCGGCUAACUACGUGCCAGCCGCCGCGGUAA
rnacentral:rRNA from 1 species